rnacentral:misc_RNA from 1 species
CGGGUCUCCAAUCUUUUGAACACAGAUAGCCUUAAUUCAGGAUUCAUAUCUGGCUCUGUAACUUGGCUUCUUGGCGGGACCAGUGUGUAGACGGUAGACCUUAUAGCUGAUUAAAGAAUGGAUUCUGAGUCUGCUGGCUCAUCAUCUCAACCUCCUGCUCAAGCUUCUUCCAUUGAACCUCCUGCCAAAGCUUCUAAUAAUGAUUCCCC